rnacentral:rRNA from 1 species
UGGGGAAUUUUGGACAAUGGGGGAAACCCUGAUCCAGCCAUCCCGCGUGUGCGAUGAAGGCCUUCGGGUUGUAAAGCACUUUUGGCAGGAAAGAAACGUCGCGGGUUAAUACCCCGCGAAACUGACGGUACCUGCAGAAUAAGCACCGGCUAACUACGUGCCAGCAGCCGCGGUAAUACGUAGGGUGCAAGCGUUAAUCGGAAUUACUGGGCGUAAAGCGUGCGCAGGCGGUUCGGAAAGAAAGAUGUGAAAUCCCAGAGCUUAACUUUGGAACUGCAUUUUUAACUACCGGGCUAGAGUGUGUCAGAGGGAGGUGGAAUUCCGCGUGUAGCAGUGAAAUGCGUAGAUAUGCGGAGGAACACCGAUGGCGAAGGCAGCCUCCUGGGAUAACACUGACGCUCAUGCACGAAAGCGUGGGGGAGCAAAACAGGAUUAGAUACCCUGGGUAGUCCACGCCCUAAAACGAUGUCAACUAGCUGUUGGGGCCUUCGGGCCUUGGUAGGCCGCAGGCUAACGCGUGAAGUUG